GGAUAGCGCUCCCGCAGUGCGCUCUUUAACUCCCAAGUGGCCUCGCGUUCGUCGUGGUUGCUCCAAAGCACCUUCACGUAAGGAAUUUCUCGGUUCCGCAAUCUUUUCACCUCGCGAGCCAAAAUCCUCAAGGGUUGCUCUUCAAAGCUCAAAUCAUCCCGCAGCUCCAAAGGUGUAGUAUCCAACACGUGAGCCUGAUCGUGGAUGUACUUCCGAAGGACCGAUACAUGGAACACAUUGUGUACACCCGAU
rnacentral:lncRNA from 1 species